GAUGAACGCUGGCGGCGUGCUUAACACAUGCAAGUCGAGCGAUGAAGUUUCCUUCGGGAAACGGAUUAGCGGCGGACGGGUGAGUAACACGUGGGUAACCUGCCUCAUAGAGUGGAAUAGCCUUCCGAAAGGAAGAUUAAUACCGCAUAACGUUGAAAGAUGGCAUCAUCAUUCAACCAAAGGAGCAAUCCGCUAUGAGAUGGACCCGCGGCGCAUUAGCUAGUUGGUGGGGUAACGGCCUACCAAGGCGACGAUGCGUAGCCGACCUGAGAGGGUGAUCGGCCACAUUGGGACUGAGACACGGCCCAGACUCCUACGGGAGGCAGCAGUGGGGAAUAUUGCACAAUGGGGGAAACCCUGAUGCAGCAACGCCGCGUGAGUGAUGAAGGUUUUCGGAUCGUAAAGCUCUGUCUUUGGGGAAGAUAAUGACGGUACCCAAGGAGGAAGCCACGGCUAACUACGUGCCAGCCGCCGCCGUAACAC
rnacentral:rRNA from 1 species